AAUAAGUGUAGUUUUGCACUAUUCAUGUCCAACGUUUGACCGUUCGUCUUAUUUGAAAUUUUUUUGUGAUUAAUAUUUUUAUUGUUAUUAGAUGAUAAAACAUGAAUAAUACUUUAUGGGUGACUAUUUAUUUUUAGUUUUUUUUCAUAAAUUUUUUAAAUAAGACGAACGGUCAAACGUUGGACACGGAUCUCCACGACUGCACUUAUU
rnacentral:pre_miRNA from 2 species